UACGUAGGUGGCAAGCGUUGUCCGGAUUUACUGGGUUUAAAGGGUGCGUAGGCGGGUAUGUAAGUCAGUGGUGAAAUUCGGUUGCUUAACAAUACGAGUGCCAUUGAUACUGUGUAUCUAGAGUUAAGUUAAGGUAUGUGGAACGACUGGUGUAGCGGUGAAAUGCAUAGAUAUCAGUCAGAACACCGAUUGCGAAGGCAGCGUACUGGGCUUUAACUGACGCUGAGGCACGAAAGUGCGGGUAUCAAACAGG
rnacentral:rRNA from 1 species